rnacentral:rRNA from 1 species
CUGCUAGAAAGCAACGAUUCAUUCACUCUGAAUAAUCUUAGGCAAACUAGAAGAGAAGCCUCGGCUUCCUGCGUCACAAUGUGCUAACGAGCAGACUACGCUCUGAAACACUACCUGACCAAAAUCUAAAUUUUUCAGAGCUAAAUCCUUUGCAGACGACUUAAAUAAAGAACGGGGUAUUGUAUGCGGCUGAGUAGCCUUGUUGCUACGUUCCGCUGAGAUUAAGCCCUUGUUCUAAGAUUUGU